CACCCAUGCAUGGCAGCUUGGUCCCAACCCCAUGGAGAAAUCUGUCAGCACCUGAGCUUUCCUAGCAUGCCUUGCAGUGUCCUUGUCGGGGCUUUCUAGCUGACAGUCAGAGAUAAAGGAGCGAGUGAAUUAUUAUUUGCUAGUUAAGGAAAUUCAUCACAAUGAUUCUUCUUCUUAUGGAAAAGGAACAAGCCUGGUGCUGAGUACAGUGGCAAAUCUGAUCUGAAGUUACCUUAGAAGACCAAUCAUUGCAGAAGCAGCCGCCUGCGGCAGUCCUAGCAGUGUGCAAAAAAACCACCAGAGGAGACUGCCGGAGAGGAGAAACCAAAACAAAACCCACGGCGCCGCUUUACCCAGUUCUCCAAGGAGGAACUGAAGAAGAUCUCCUUUUCCCCCCCCUCCCCACCACCCGCACCCCGCUCCUCCACUCCCUCUGACCCCAACGGGGGUGGAGGGAAGAGCGUGGGCAGGGUUGGAGGGAGGAGCCCCGGCGGAGGCCGGGGAGAAAAUACAUGGCCGGGCGGACAUUGCUAGAGGAGAUGGCCCCGCCCAAAACACCCGCAACCACACGCAGCCUCGCCGGUGGCGGGGCCAGCAGAUUCCACUGUCUUCCCGUUGAGGGCGACUCGACCCCCUGAUGAACAUGGCAAUCAGCCUCUCCAGUAUUGGCCCUUUGCCACUAGUGACCUUUAUAAUUGGCGCACACAACACGCCAAGUUUUCUGACAAUCCCAGGGAUCUAAUUCAACUGUUAGAGACUGUUUUGUUCACCCACCAUCCCACCUGAAAUGACUGUCA
rnacentral:lncRNA from 1 species